rnacentral:rRNA from 1 species
AGCGUACACGGUGGAUGCCCUGGCAGUCAGAGGCGAUGAAGGGCGUGCUAAUCUGCGAUAAGCGCCGGUAAGGUGAUAUGAACCGUUAUAACCGGCGAUACCCGAAUGGGGAAACCCAGUGUGAUUCGUCACACUAUCAUUAACUGAAUCCAUAGGUUAAUGAGGCGAACCGGGGGAACUGAAACAUCUAAGUACCCCGAGGAAAAGAAAUCAACCGAGAUUCCCCCAGUAGCGGCGAGCGAACGGGGAGGAGCCCAGAGCCUGAAUCAGCAUGUGUGUUAGUGGAAGCGUCUGGAAAGGCGCGCGAUACAGGGUGACAGCCCCGUACACAAAAGCGCAUGUGCUGUGAGCUCGAUGAGUAGGGCGGGACACGUGGUAUCCUGUCUGAAUAUGGGGGGACCAUCCUCCAAGGCUAAAUACUCCUGACUGACCGAUAGUGAACCAGUACCGUGAGGGAAAGGCGAAAAGAACCCCGGCGAGGGGAGUGAAAAAGAACCUGAAACCGUGUACGUACAAGCAGUGGGAGCACAGGUUUACCUGUGUGACUGCGUACCUUUUGUAUAAUGGGUCAGCGACUUAUAUUCUGUAGCAAGGUUAACCGAAUAGGGGAGCCGGAGGGAAACCGAGUCUUAAUUGGGCGUUAAGUUGCAGGGUAUAGACCCGAAACCCGGUGAUCUAGCCAUGGGCAGGUUGAAGGUUGGGUAACACUAACUGGAGGACCGAACCGACUAAUGUUGAAAAAUUAGCGGAUGACCUGUGGCUGGGGGUGAAAGGCCAAUCAAACCGGGAGAUAGCUGGUUCUCCCCGAAAGCUAUUUAGGUAGCGCCUCGUGAAUUCAUCUCCGGGGGUAGAGCACUGUUUCGGCUAGGGGGCCAUCCCGGCUUACCAACCCGAUGCAAACUGCGAAUACCGGAGAAUGUUAUCACGGGAGACACACGGCGGGUGCUAACGUCCGUCGUGAAGAGGGAAACAACCCAGACCGCCAGCUAAGGUCCCAAAGUCAUGGUUAAGUGGGAAACGAUGUGGGAAGGCCCAGACAGCCAGGAUGUUGGCUUAGAAGCAGCCAUCAUUUAAAGAAAGCGUAAUAGCUCACUGGUCGAGUCGGCCUGCGCGGAAGAUGUAACGGGGCUAAACCAUGCACCGAAGCUGCGGCAGCGACGCUUAUGCGUUGUUGGGUAGGGGAGCGUUCUGUAAGCCUGUGAAGGUGUGUCGUGAGGCAUGCUGGAGGUAUCAGAAGUGCGAAUGCUGACAUAAGUAACGAUAAAGCGGGUGAAAAGCCCGCUCGCCGGAAGACCAAGGGUUCCUGUCCAACGUUAAUCGGGGCAGGGUGAGUCGACCCCUAAGGCGAGGCCGAAAGGCGUAGUCGAUGGGAAACGGGUUAAUAUUCCCGUACUUGGUGUUACUGCGAAGGGGGGACGGAGAAGGCUAUGUUGGCCGGGCGACGGUUGUCCCGGUUUAAGCGUGUAGGUGUGUGUUCCAGGUAAAUCCGGUUCACUUUAACACUGAGGCGUGAUGACGAGGCACUACGGUGCUGAAGUAACAAAUGCCCUGCUUCCAGGAAAAGCCUCUAAGCAUCAGGUAACAUCAAAUCGUACCCCAAACCGACACAGGUGGUCAGGUAGAGAAUACCAAGGCGCUUGAGAGAACUCGGGUGAAGGAACUAGGCAAAAUGGUGCCGUAACUUCGGGAGAAGGCACGCUGACACGUAGGUGAAGUGAUUUACUCAUGGAGCUGAAGUCAGUCGAAGAUACCAGCUGGCUGCAACUGUUUAUUAAAAACACAGCACUGUGCAAACACGAAAGUGGACGUAUACGGUGUGACGCCUGCCCGGUGCCGGAAGGUUAAUUGAUGGGGUCAGCGCAAGCGAAGCUCCUGAUCGAAGCCCCGGUAAACGGCGGCCGUAACUAUAACGGUCCUAAGGUAGCGAAAUUCCUUGUCGGGUAAGUUCCGACCUGCACGAAUGGCGUAAUGAUGGCCAGGCUGUCUCCACCCGAGACUCAGUGAAAUUGAACUCGCUGUGAAGAUGCAGUGUACCCGCGGCAAGACGGAAAGACCCCGUGAACCUUUACUAUAGCUUGACACUGAACAUUGAGCCUUGAUGUGUAGGAUAGGUGGGAGGCUUUGAAGUGUGGACGCCAGUCUGCAUGGAGCCGACCUUGAAAUACCACCCUUUAAUGUUUGAUGUUCUAACGUGGACCCGUGAUCCGGGUUGCGGACAGUGUCUGGUGGGUAGUUUGACUGGGGCGGUCUCCUCCUAAAGAGUAACGGAGGAGCACGAAGGUUGGCUAAUCCUGGUCGGACAUCAGGAGGUUAGUGCAAUGGCAUAAGCCAGCUUGACUGCGAGCGUGACGGCGCGAGCAGGUGCGAAAGCAGGUCAUAGUGAUCCGGUGGUUCUGAAUGGAAGGGCCAUCGCUCAACGGAUAAAAGGUACUCCGGGGAUAACAGGCUGAUACCGCCCAAGAGUUCAUAUCGACGGCGGUGUUUGGCACCUCGAUGUCGGCUCAUCACAUCCUGGGGCUGAAGUAGGUCCCAAGGGUAUGGCUGUUCGCCAUUUAAAGUGGUACGCGAGCUGGGUUUAGAACGUCGUGAGACAGUUCGGUCCCUAUCUGCCGUGGGCGCUGGAGAACUGAGGGGGGCUGCUCCUAGUACGAGAGGACCGGAGUGGACGCAUCACUGGUGUUCGGGUUGUCAUGCCAAUGGCACUGCCCGGUAGCUAAAUGCGGAAGAGAUAAGUGCUGAAAGCAUCUAAGCACGAAACUUGCCCCGAGAUGAGUUCU